rnacentral:lncRNA from 1 species
UUUGAUAAUGCUGAAGAUAAAAGAAAAGGAACAGAGGGAGUGUGCUGCACAUACUGUGACACUCUGUUCCAUGCAGUUGCCAGCAAUUAUUUCACUGAUUUCACUCAGGCCAGGAUUUCAUCUCAAGUUCAUCUCUGACAAUAAGGGAGGCUUAACUAAAUAAAUGCGAAACACUGGGGCUGUGUUUCUGUACAAGCCUCCUGAGAACACAGGAGGACUCAAAGCAGAUCUAAGAGUUUUGCAAGCCUUCACCUCUGGAACUGCAUUUCCUAAAAGGGUGAACAUUCCUUCAAAUAUGUUCAGUAUGCUUGUGCCUGAGCUUCUCUCCCUUCCACUCACCUGCCAAAAUGAUGAAGUUCAUAUUGACUGACUUUUUAUAGACCUUUUUGACUCUUGGAAAGGGUCAUCUUUCUUUGGCAAGAUUUGAAGAGCUGUCUGCAAAGCCAAACACUGAAAACUAAACUUUCAAAAGAAAACAUCUCAAUGGAAGACAUGACAGUAUUGACAGUUGGUCAAAAACAGUUGGAGAGCUGCCAGCAUCAUAUACCCUCCCUAAGAUAAAAUCCAAAGAUGAAGUCUGUUUAAUGUGAUUUCAGGAAUUUAAGUCAGAUCGCUCUGAGACGUCAUUCUGAGGUGAUCCUAAUGAAUCGUUAUCCUAACAAUUUCUCCUGCUCAAAGCAUUAGGCUAUGGGGAAAGGAGAUCAUAUCUGUUGAAACUGUAAGUGCAAGAAAGAACAUAGCUCUGCAACCUGGUGUACAGGGGCAUAAACGGAUAAAAGAGAUCUUGGCUUCCUGCCCCCACUGCCUAAAUUUAGCCUGUAAGGACUGGUUUGAGAAAGUGCCAUCCUUAUUUCAUUUUUUUAAAGAAAGAAUUUCUUAUCCUACUUUCAGGGGCAGAUUUGUGAGACCAUCUUAAAUAGGUAGAAUCACUUUGCUGAAGCAUUUAGCAGGGAGCAAAGUGCACUAGAGGAGACAGGAUUUAGAACACAUCAUCCUUCUCAUUGUCCAGCACCAGGCUGUGCCUAACUUUCUCAUACAAAAGAACUUAGAUUGUCUCUAAAUCCACCUGGUACUCCAGAUUAGGCGGUUAAGGUACAUCAGGGUCCACAGGUAGAAGCACACCAGGAAGCAACACGUUUAGCAUUGCAUUGGCCGCUGUGUUGAGUGACCAGUUGUGCUCACUGGGGACUAUGUGAAGCCAGGGAAGCCUUGAACUUCCAGACCUGAAGGUGUGGAGAGAUGUUUGCUGCAGCCUGCGGUGAUUUGGGGUAUUGAUCUGAAUUCUGUCCCUGGGAUCAGGAACAUAAGUAGGUUGCAUUAGGGUAACAUGGUGGGUCAUAAGUCCCUCUAAUGCUGUGAUCACUGGUUUCUGUUCUUCAUGAGGUUUGAAAAUGUUCAACUAAAUGUACAUGUAAGAAAUUGGCAAUAAAAAUUGAUAAAUGAGUUGUUUGAUAAAAACA